UAGGAAGUGGUGUAGUGGAAGCACUGAGAAUUUUGAAUUCUUCGGUAGAGGUUCAAAUCCCCUUUUUCUAA
rnacentral:tRNA from 1 species